rnacentral:rRNA from 1 species
AGAGUUUGAUCAUGGCUCAGAACGAACGCUGGCGGCAGGCUUAACACAUGCAAGUCGAACGCGUGUAGCAAUACACGAGUGGCGCACGGGUGAGUAACACGUGGAUAUCUGCCUUUUGGUUCGGAAUAACCCUGGGAAACUAGGGCUAAUACCGGAUGGUUCCUACGGGAUAAAGAUUUAUCGCCAAAAGAUGAGUCCGCGUCCGAUUAGCUAGUUGGUGAGGUAAUGGCUCACCAAGGCGACGAUCGGUAGCUGGUCUGAGAGGACGAUCAGCCACACUGGGACUGAGACACGGCCCAGACUCCUACGGGAGGCAGCAGUGGGGAAUAUUGGACAAUGGGGGCAACCCUGAUCCAGCCAUGCCGCGUGAGUGAUGAAGGCCUUCGGGUUGUAAAGCUCUUUUGGCGGGGACGAUGAUGACGGUACCCGCAGAAUAAGCCCCGGCUAACUUCGUGCCAGCAGCCGCGGUAAGACGAAGGGGGCUAGCGUUGUUCGGAAUUACUGGGCGUAAAGCGCGUGUAGGCGGUUGCCAAAGUCGGGUGUGAAAGCCUUGAGCUCAACUCAAGAAAUGCACUCGAUACUUGGUGACUAGAGGACCGGAGAGGAUAGUGGAAUUCCCAGUGUAGUGGUGAAAUACGUAGAGAUUGGGAAGAACACCAGUGGCGAAGGCGGCUAUCUGGACGGUUUCUGACGCUAAGACGCGAAAGCGUGGGGAGCAAACAGGAUUAGAUACCCUAGUAGUCC